rnacentral:rRNA from 1 species
CCUACGGGUGGCAGCAGUGAGGAAUAUUGGUCAAUGGGCGCGAGCCUGAACCAGCCAAGUCGCGUGAGGGAGGACGGCCCUACGGGUUGUAAACCUCUUUUGCCGGGGAGCAACGGGCGUCACGUGUGGCGCCACUGAGAGUACCCGGAGAAAAAGCAUCGGCUAACUCCGUGCCAGCAGCCGCGGUAAUACGGAGGAUGCGAGCGUUCUCCGGUUUUAAUGGUGAAAGGGGUGCGACGGGGGAUCGGUAAGUCAGUGGUAAAAUGGAGGGGCUUAACCCCUUCCCGCCAUUGAAACUGGCGUUCUUGAGUGGAAGAGAGGUAUGCGGAAUGCGUGGUGUAGCGGUGAAAUGCAUAGAUAUCACGCAGAACCCCGAUUGCGAAGGCAGCAUGCCGGCUUCCGACUGACGCUGAAGCACGAAAGCGUGGGGAUCGAACAGGAUUAGAUACCCCAGUAGUC